CUGGAAAAUGUGUAGGCAGACUGACACAGUGCAGAGUGCAUGCAGUACAGCUGUUUAAAAGAAAAUGUGUAUGUAGUGCUAUUUGAACUCUUCUUGUUUAGUAUAAGUGAGUCAUCCUAUCAGCUCUUGUUCUAAUAUUUCUGAUAAACAGUUGUGAGUUGCAAAAUGUCUGCUGGAAAAAAAUUUGAUGCAGUAUGGAAACAAAUAACGUUAUAUCGGUAUGAUUUUGAAUUUUGAAUGUUGUCUUGGUGUUACUGUGACUCAUCUGUGUGUAUGAAAGGGAGUAUAUUCUGUUCAUUCUUUUCAUUUUACCAUUAUUUGUCUUCAGUCAGAGCUUCACUUCAUUGAGAGUUCACUAGCCGUGAUCAGGAAUGGAAUCAGUAAUAAAACCAGUGACGGCAUGAGAGUUAAGUGGAACAGUGUGGAAGAUCCUUGAACACUGAAACCUUUGAAUCUGCCGAUGACUGGAAAACCACUAAAAUCUUGGACUUCAAACCUUUACAGGGUACCGUCGAGAUUUAUCUGGACCCGCCCGUUUCGACUCCUGGACCCCGUGAGUGUGAGUGGGUUGCUCGUGUGAGGAGUGUUUGGACAAGGAGCGGAGCAAGUGUGAAAAAGUGUGUUUCCCCGGCCUAUUGAUCCCCGGGACCCUGGUGUCCCCCCCCCCCCCCCCUUCACGUGUACAUAGCGCACCGGAGUGAUUAAUAAAGUCUGUGCCUGAGUCCGCCCAUCACCGUGACAGUAUGCACAUUUUAAUUACAUUUCAUGUAACUACAUUUGUGUGUUCUGAUUUCAGAAAUCCUAAACUACAGAAAGAUAAUGAUUAAACUGCUAAAGACAACUAACAGAUGUGCAUGAUUCUUUCUUUUGCGUCAUUUCCAGAGGUUGGAAUAACAAUAAUUUUUCCACUCCUGCCAGCAGCACAAAUACAUGGAUUUCUUUUCUGCUGAGCCAACUCACAAUAAAUGAAUAGUACUUGGCAAGAUUGAGAAUAAAAACACAGACAUGAUCUUUGAAAGUAUGUUUUGGUAAAUUAAACAAGGCAUGAAAGUGUUCACAUUUACAGCCUUUUACCGUAAUCUUGUGUUGAAUACCUCAUAGGGAGGAGACUGCCAGUAUGCAUUUGGACAUACUGAGUAAGGUUUCUAUCAACCCUUAAUCCUUGUGAAAACAUUUCAGGAAGAAACUUUACUGUUAAGAAUUAUUCUGUGCUUUUUAAAAUUCUUCCGUUAGUCUUUGUAAC
ensembl:lncRNA